rnacentral:rRNA from 1 species
UAUNGGUCAAUGGGGGCAACCCUGAACCAGCNACGCCGCGUGAGGGAAGACGGUUUUCGGAUUGUAAACCUCUGUUUUCUGUGAAGAUGAUGACGGUAUCAGAGGAGGAAGCUCUGGCUAACUACGUGCCAGCAGCCGCGGUAAUACGUAGGGAGCGAGCGUUGUCCGGAUUUACUGGGUGUAAAGCGUGCGUAGGCGGCUAUGCAAGUCAGUAGUGAAAUCCAUGGGCUUAACCCAUGAACUGCUAUUGAAACUGCACAGCUUGAGUGAAGUAGAGGUAGGCGGAAUUCCCGGUGUAGCGGUGAAAUGCGUAGAGAUCGGGAGGAACACCAGUGGCGAAGGCGGCCUACUGGGCUUUAACUGACGCUGAGGCACGAAAGCGUGGGUAGCAAACAGG